UUUUAAACAGCUGAUAGAGCCAACCCAUCUCUGUUGCAAAAGAGUGGGAUGAUUUUUAAGUAGAGGUGAAAAGCCUACCGAACUUAGAGAUAGCUGGUUAUUCAAGAAAAGAAUUUUAGUUCAGCCCUAAGUCUCUCAAUUAUGUAAAUAAACAGACUAGACUUAGGAACUACUCAAAUAAGGCACAGCUUAUUUGAUAAAGGAGACAACCUAUAAAAAAGGGUAAAACCCAUUACAUUAACCAAGUAGGCCCGAAAGCAGCCACCUUUAAGAAAGCGUUAAAGCUCUAUUAUUUAACCUACCAUAAUACCUAAACACAUUUUAAACCCUUUAUCCCUAUUGAAUGACUCUAUAAUAAUAUAGAAGCCCUAAUGCUAAAACUAGUAACAAGAAAUUGCAUUCUCCAAAAUACAAGCACAAACCAGAAUGGACAAACCACUGGUAGUUAACAUUAAUAAGCCUAAUAUAGCAACAAUCCAAGAAAACCCUAUAAUUUUUAGUGUUAACCUUACACAAGUGUAUUUCUGGAAAGAUUAAAAGAAAGGGAAGGAACUCGGCAAAUUUUAACCCCGCCUGUUUACCAAAAACAUCGCCUCUUGAAUAUCAUAAGAGGUCUAGCCUGCCCAGUGAUAUAUUAAACGGCCGCGGUACCCUGACCGUGCGAAGGUAGCAUAAUCACUUGUUCUCUAAAUAAGGACUAGUAUCAACGGCAUCACGAGGGUUACACUGUCUCCCCCUUCUAAUCAGUGAAACUGACUUUCCCGUGAAGAGGCGGGAAUUUCCAUACAAGACGAGAAGACCCCAUGGAGCUUUAAACCCAAAGGCAACCUUUAUUACAUCACUUUAAAAUUUCUAGGCUCCUGCCUAUUGGUUUUAGGUUGGGGUGACCACGGAGUAAAACCUAGCCUCCACGACGAAUAGAUUUCUUCAUCUUAAUCUUAGAGCCACCGCUCCAAGAAUCAAAAACUUGACGCAACCUGAUCCGAUUUCUCGAUCAACGAACCAAGUUACCCUGGGGAUAACAGCGCAAUCCAUUUUAAGAGCCCCUAUCGACAAAUGGGUUUACGACCUCGAUGUUGGAUCAGGGUAUCCCAGUGGUGCAGC
rnacentral:rRNA from 1 species